ACUAAAGAAGCUUGAAAUUCAUUGACAAUGAACCACAGCCAGAUCACAAUUCUCUUAUGAAGUUUUGACCAGGGCAACCUGAAAAAUUAGGUCUCGAUGUCUUAGAGUUGCAUCUGUCUCAGUGAGCGUGCAUCCUUCUAUCAUCGAACCAGAAAGGUAGAGCAAAAACUGAUGAAGAGAAGUAGAAAAGAGCCUGGAGAAAGAAGCGCUGAGAGACAGUUGAAGCAUGCAGUAUUAUCUUUUGAUGUCCUGCAUACAUUUCAGCUCAUGCCACAAGUUUCCAGAGGAGAAUGCAAGGCUGACAGCCAGAGCUACACGGAUAGACAAGUUGCUUUGUCCAGGGAAGUCCCUCUGCCCACCCACGAGAGUCCUGGUGGAGGUGCAGCACUGUGCCUUUGCUAUCUUCUGGCCUCCCAAGCUCCUCCCUGCCUCACCCUGAUCAGACUCUGCUUGUACCAGAUGCUUCUUCAACCAUCCUUCCCCCUGGGCUGUUAAAACCCCAAGAGCGUGUGUGUGGAAGUGGGAUGUGUCUAAUUUUGUCUCUCUCCUCUGGGCCCAGUGCCUUGAGUGACUAAAUAGAAGGAACUUAUUUAAUACAAGCAAUAAAUAAAUGAACCA
rnacentral:lncRNA from 1 species